CCUACGGGGGGCUGCAGUGGGGAAUAUUGCGCAAUGGGGGAAACCCUGACGCAGCAACGCCGCGUGAAGGAAGACGGCCUUCGGGUUGUAAACUUCAACAAGCAGGGAAGAUAAUGACGGUACCUGACUGGAAGCCACGGCUAACUACGUGCCAGCAGCCGCGGUAAUACGUAGGUGGCAAGCGUUGUCCGGAUUUACUGGGUGUAAAGGGCGUGUAGGCGGGUGCUUAAGUCAGUGGUGAAAUACCGAGGCUCAACUUCGGGGCUGCCAUUGAA
rnacentral:rRNA from 1 species